AGAGUUUGAUCAUGGCUCAGAACGAACGCUGGCGGCAUGCCUAACACAUGCAAGUCGAACGAACUCUUCGGAGUUAGUGGCGCACGGGUGCGUAACGCGUGGGAAUCUGCCCUUGGGUACGGAAUAACUCAGAGAAAUUUGUGCUAAUACCGUAUAAUGUCUUCGGACCAAAGAUUUAUCGCCCAAGGAUGAGCCCGCGUAAGAUUAGCUAGUUGGUGGGGUAAAAGCCUACCAAGGCGACGAUCUUUAGCUGGUCUGAGAGGAUGAUCAGCCACACUGGGACUGAGAUACGGCCCAGACUCCUACGGGAGGCAGCAGUGGGGAAUAUUGCACAAUGGGCGCAAGCCUGAUGCAGCGACGCCGCGUGAGGGAUGACGGCCUUCGGGUUGUAAACCUCUUUCACCAGGGACGAAGCGCAAGUGACGGUACCUGGAGAAGAAGCACCGGCCAACUACGUGCCAGCAGCCGCGGUAAUACGUAGGGUGCGAGCGUUGUCCGGAAUUACUGGGCGUAAAGAGCUCGUAGGUGGUUUGUCGCGUUGUUCGUGAAAACUCACAGCUUAACUGUGGGCGUGCGGGCGAUACGGGCAGACUAGAGUACUGCAGGGGAGACUGGAAUUCCUGGUGUAGCGGUGGAAUGCGCAGAUAUCAGGAGGAACACCGGUGGCGAAGGCGGGUCUCUGGGCAGUAACUGACGCUGAGGAGCGAAAGCGUGGGGAGCGAACAGGAUUAGAUACCCCGGUAGUCCAA
rnacentral:rRNA from 1 species